rnacentral:lncRNA from 1 species
UCAUGCCUGGGCAGUUACAGGAAGGCUUCAGCUGCCUGGUCACCAACCGAUUCGACCAGUUAUUUGACAACUAAUCGGACCCCUUCGAGGUGCUGAAGGCAGGAGAGAACAAGAAAAAAGAAGCUGGCGGGGGCGGCGUCUCUGGGGCCAAGAGCGGCAGCUCAGGCUGCGACCCAGACCAACUCCAAGGCGGCAGGCAAAUAGCUAGCUGCGCAAGGAGUCCCAGAAAGACAGCAAGAACCCGCUGCCCUCCAGCGUUGGCGUGGUUGACAGGAAAGAGGAGACGCAGCCGUCCAUGGUGCUUAAGAAAGAAGGAAUAAAAAGAAGAAGGAAUAAGACAAGUUGGAAGAAGACCUGCUCAACAACUUCACGGUGAAGGGAAAAUAACUGAUAGAAGACCAGAAAGGAGACCACCUUGUGAACGAAGACUUGAAAAGCCACUUGAUGAAAGGGGUGAAGGAGGCGAAUUUUCAGUUGAUAGACUGAUUAUUGACCGACCUAUUCAAGGUCAUGGUGGUCUUGGAAGAGGUCGAGAGGGCAGUGGACGUGAAAUGGGCCAAGGAGAUGGAUUUGAUUCUCGUGGCAAACGUGAAUUUGAUAGGUAUAGUGGAAGUGAUAGAUCUUUUUUUUCACAUUACAGUGGCCUGAAGCACGAGGACCUGUAACGUGGAGGUAGCAGAUCUCACAACUGGGGAAUUGUCAAAGAUGAAUUAACAGAGUCCCCCAAAUACAUUCAGAAACAAAUAUCUUAUAAUUGCAGUGACUUGGAUCAAUCAAAUGUGACUGAGGAAACACCUGAAGGUGAAGAACAUCAUCCAGUGGCAGACACUGAAAAUAAGGAGAAUGAAGUUGAAGAGGUAAAAGAGGAGGGUCCAAAAGAGAUGACUUUGGAUGAGUGGAAGGCUAUUCAAAAUAAGGACUGGGCAAAAGUA